GAUGAACGCUGGCGGCGUGCCUAAUACAUGCAAGUCGAGCGAACAGACGAGGAGCUUGCUCCUCUGACGUUAGCGGCGGACGGGUGAGUAACACGUGGAUAACCUACCUCUAAGACUGGGCUAACUGCGGGAAACCGGAGUUAAUACCGGAUAAUAUAUUGAACCGCAUGGUUCAAUAGUGAAAGACGGUUUUGCUGUCACUUAUAGAUGGAUCCGCGCCGCAUUAGCUAGUUGGUAAGGUAACGGCUUACCAAGGCAACGAUGCGUAGCCGACCUGAGGGGGUGAUCGGCCACGCUGGAACUGAGACUCGGUCCAGACUCCUACGGGAGGCAGCAGUAGGAAAUCUUCCGCAAUGACCGAAAGCCUGACGGAGCAACGCCGCGUGAGUGAUGAAGGUCUUCGGAUCGUAAAACUCUGUUAUUAGCAAAGAACAAAUGUGUAAGUAACUAUGCACGUCUUGACGGUACCUAAUCAGAAAGCCACGGCUAACUACGUG
rnacentral:rRNA from 1 species